GCCUCUUUAGUAUUAAUCAGUACAAUUGACUUCCAAUCAAUUAGUUCUGGUACAGUCCAGAAAGAAGCA
rnacentral:tRNA from 1 species